rnacentral:rRNA from 1 species
CCUACGUGGAGCAGCAGUGGGGAAUAUUGCGCAAUGGGCGAAAGCCUGACGCAGCGACGCCGCGUGAGGGAUGAAGGUCUUCGGAUCGUAAACCUCUGUCAGCAGGGAAGAACGGUCACUGUGCUAAUCAGCAGUGAAUUGACGGUACCUGCAAAGGAAGCACCGGCUAACUCCGUGCCAGCAGCCGCGGUAAUACGGAGGGUGCGCGCGUUAAUCGGAAUUACUGGGCGUAAAGCGCUCGUAGGCGGUAUGUCAAGUCAAGGGUGAAAUCCCCGCGCUCAACGUGGGAACUGCCUUUGAAACUGGCAAACUGGAGUGUGUGAGAGGAUAGUGGAAUUCCAGGUGUAGGAGUGAAAUCCGUAGAUAUCUGGAGGAACAUCAGUGGCGAAGGCGACUAUCUGGCACAUAACUGACGCUGAGUAGCGAAAGCGUGGGUAGCAAACAGGAUUAGAUACCCUAGUAGUC